rnacentral:lncRNA from 12 species
UCAUACCUCUAACUGGUGCUUUCUUACACAACCUUGUCAGCAUUUUAGUGGGGAAAAGUGGUGAAAGAACUUCAAGACCACUGCUCUCUGUAUUAAGUUCUCGCUCUCUGUUGGAAAACAUGCUCCAGCUCUGUCACCAAGCAAGCGCAGAGUUAGGGGUGAGAAAUGCUCUCCCCAAGUACUGUUUUCCCGCUGAGCCGGUCCCGC